UACAAGUCGUUGAUUGAUAAUUUGGA
rnacentral:sRNA from 1 species